rnacentral:lncRNA from 1 species
GCUUCUCUUGGUUAUCCUGCAUCGGGAACAAUUUAGAUAGCUGAAGACAGAGAAACGAGAAGAAACUUUUGGCUUACCAGUGCGUUUUGGGAUUCUGGCGUGGUAGCGCCGGCGUCUCUCCGGCUGCCCUUCUUCUUCUUCUUCGGUCACCUAUUUCGGUAAGGGUUUUAGAGCCGACUGAAGAGAGGUAUUUAAACCUCUCUUCCCUUUAUCUUGGCUGUCCAUUUGGGUCAACGAGGGGUAAGGAAGGUCGUUUGAUCAGGCUUAUUUGGAGAAUUGUUCUGGGUCAUCCAUUCAAGUUCGUGUGGGGCAAUAGGAGCUGUUCGAUAGGACUUGCUCAGGGAAUUGAUAUAGGCCGUUCCUGCGCGCUAGAGUGGACAUGAGUCAUCUAAUCUUCCUGGCACGCGGAUUGCAGCGUAGGCUUCUCACAUGGAGCCCGUGUUGAUGUGGCUGCCAUGCGGCAUGUAGCUAUCCGCUGCGCUACUGAUUUGGCAUCCACAUGUCCCUUUUUCCCUUUUUGUGAAUUGAUCCCUGUUUUUCAAAUCUUUCUUUUAAAUGUGCCAUUUUUUUUUACAGUUUGGCCCUAGUUUUUGAAAUUUGUUUUCAAAAGUGCUCGAAAUGUAUAUAUUCCUCUUAAUAAUUAUUUUUUUACAUUCUUUAAAUAAAAAAAAAAUUGAGCUAUUAUUAUUAUUUAAGAAAUUUAAAUUUACUAUUCCAAGAUAAUUUUUUCGAACUCGGGAUGUUACAAUAACAGCGGUCACAAUUAUACUAUUUCUAGUAAAAAGGGACUCCAAAAUACGCAAUAACACUCAUAUCUCAACUCGUAUGAUGCGUAUUACCAUAAAUCAUCAAUUUGUCACACGUGAAAGGGGUACCAAACUCAUCUCGACCGUUAAUCCGGUCACCCACACACCCCUCUCUCAAUGGUAACUGAUUGAACGGUAUACUCGUCAACUUUGCACAUUGUAAUAUAAUUCAACAAUAUAUCACAACCCUUUCCAUUUAUUUUUUUUAACAGAUCUUGUCCCCAUUUAUUUUCCUCUUUAACUCACACAUGUGCUUCUUUGUUUCCUCUCUAAUCUAUUUUUUUUAUUAAAACUAAAUUAUUUUCCCCUUAUUUUCUAUGUUGUCCAUAUUAUUAUUUUUUGUUCCCAUACAGACCAAUCCUCUAAAUUCUAUAAUUUCCUCUCCUGCGUAUGCACACCAGUAUAUAUAUACACACACACAUAUAUAAUUAUUUUUUUGUUAUUCCCCUUGUUGACUAAUUUUUGUUUUUAUAUUUCCUCCCCUACGUAUACACACCAGUAUAUAUAUACACUCAUGCAUAAUUAUUUUUCUACUAUUCCCCUUGUUGCCUAAUUUUGUUUUAUAUUUCCUCCCCCUGCAUAUGCAAACCAGUAUAUAUAUCUACACAUAUAUAAUUAUUUUUCUGCUAUUCCACUUGUUGCCUAAUUUUGUUUUUAUAUUUCUUCCCCUGUGUAUGCACAUCAGUAUAUAUAUACACACACAUAUUUAUUUUUCUGCUAUUCUCCUUGUUAUCUAUUUUGUUUUUAUUUCUUUUUUUUUAUAAUUUCCUCAUCUAUACAAUGCCCAGUACCCUUCACUAAUUUACCUUGAAAUUUCAAAGAUGCUCUUAUAAUUUAAUUGGCUAAAUUUUUAAAUCCUUACCUGCUUUGUUGUGUUGUAUUCUAGUGUUUCCAUCCUAUAAUCAUUCCCCCAUUAGAUCUCAACCCCUUAUUUUACUCAAAUAACUCCCCAACAUUAUAAUUCCCAGAUAUGGAAUUUUUAUAGAAUUCAUCAGAGCUGAUAUAUCCCUCAUGCACAUCAGUUUAGGUGCCCAAACUAAAUUUCCAACACUGGUGCUCAUCGUUUAAUUGAUGCAGAAAUUACAUACUCAGGUACCUAAUCUUAAAACUAUUGUACCAUUCAUUUCAGGAUCUACAACUACCAAUUAGAGGACACUGGUAAACCUUACUGCAUAACUGUUUUAAACCAAAAAUUGGGUGUAUUACAUCACUAUUCAUGCCUUCAGCUAAAACAGAAAAUUAUUCAACCCAUUUUUCACUCAUAUUUGAGGCCUAAGGGUACUAAUUAUUGAGAUAGAGUAAGGUGGUAAAUAAUCCUUACCUCUUCGACAAAAGGUGAUGCAGGUGGUCUCGGUGUGGGGGUUCCUUCUUCCUAAGCUGAAAUUGGUACCCAN